rnacentral:ncRNA from 1 species
GAUCCGUAACUUCGGGAAAAGGAUUGGCUCUGAGGGCUGGGCACGGGGGUCCCAGUCCCGAACCCAUCGGCUGUCGGUGGACUGCUCGAGCUGCUCCCGCGGCGAGAGCGGGUCGCCGCGUGCCGGCCGGGGGACGGACUGGGAACGGUUCCUUCGGGGGCCUUCCCCGGGCGUCGAACAGCCAACUCAGAACUGGUAC